UGAGACAGUGAAAAUACAUGUGGUAUGUUGUAUCUGAACAGGUUAGCUUACGAGCUAAAGUUACUUAGCACAGAUGAAAAUCAAAACAAAGACGUUUAUCAAACUGUUAAAGCACACAAACCAUCGUCAUGUGAGAAAUCCGACGCUAUGACUCUCCACAAGUCGUCCUUCAGGUCGUUAUCUUUGUAAUAUUUGUGUUUUUUAUCAAAAAUCACUCUGUUCUCCGACACGUAAACAAUCAGCCGGUCGGCCAUGUUGGAUAUACCGGUGAAUCUGACGUCGCAACAACACGAAAUCUGAUUGGUCAGAAGUGGACACACAGUAUGCGAAACUUUAGAAAAUUCGACCGUGAAAUGAAAAAAAA
rnacentral:lncRNA from 1 species